GCUUGCACAGAUGACGACCGGCGCACGGGUGCGUAACGCGUAUAGAACCUACCUUUUACAGAGGAAUAGCCUUUAGAAAUGAAGAUUAAUGCCUCAUAGUAUUGUAGACUGGCAUCAGUUUAUAAUUAAAGAUUUAUCGGUAAAAGAUGGCUAUGCGUCCUAUUAGUUAGUUGGUAAGGUAACGGCUUACCAAGACAGCGAUAGGUAGGGGUCCUGAGAGGGAGAUCCCCCACACUGGUACUGAGACACGGACCAGACUCCUACGGGAGGCAGCAGUGAGGAAUAUUGGACAAUGGAGGAGACUCUGAUCCAGCCAUGCCGCGUGUAGGAAGAAUGCCCUAUGGGUUGUAAACUACUUUUAUACAGGAAGAAACACUGGUAUGUAUACCAGCUUGACGGUA
rnacentral:rRNA from 1 species